UGAGGAAUAUUGGUCAAUGGGCGUAAGCCUGAACCAGCCAAGUCGCGUGAGGGAAGACGGCCCUAUGGGUUGUAAACCUCUUUUGUCGGGGAGCAAAGCCGCCCACGUGUGGGCGGAAGGAGAGUACCCGAAGAAAAAGCAUCGGCUAACUCCGUGCCAGCAGCCGCGGUAAUACGGAGGAUGCGAGCGUUAUCCGGAUUUAUUGGGUUUAAAGGGUGCGUAGGCGGCAUGGUAAGUCAGCGGUCAAAUCGAGGGGCUCAACCCCUUUCCGCCGUUGAAACUGCCGUGCUUGAGUGGGCGAGAAGUAUGCGGAACGCGUGGUGUAGCGGUGAAAUGCAUAGAUAUCACGCAGAACUCCGAUUGCGAAGGCAGCAUACCGGCGCCCGACUGACGCUGAGGCACGAAAGCGUGGGGAUCGAACAGGAUUAGAUACC
rnacentral:rRNA from 1 species